rnacentral:lncRNA from 1 species
CUUAGGGUGAAUCAUUAACCAAGCACCUAAGUAUGGUGAAGCAAAAAUGUUUGUUGAGUGUCUUUGCAGACAGCAUGGAGUGGAGGCCUUCUGCAGGAGGAAUGGCUCUGCUCUCAUGCAGGAGCUGCAGCACUGCCAUCUGCUCGCUCAACCGCUUCCUCCAGCUCUACACCUCUGCUUAUGCACUGAUGGGCUGAAGCUGCUCCUGCUUUUGGGAUGAGAAAAGGGAACGGUAGAUGUAUCCUGGAGAAAGGAUUUAAGAGAUCUUUCUGUUUGCCUUGGGCUGUGAUUUCCUGUGGGCAAUGAUGGAGGAACAGCACGGUCUAGAUAAACUCUACUUAACUUGCUUAUUGGGAUGGAGGUGGAUUGGCAUUGUCCUUUUUCCAGGAGUCAAGACUGAAGAAUUACAGAAAUACUGCAGUGUUAUCAAGUGGCUCAGCGCAGGCCUGAGGGAUAAUGGCAGAUGACUCAUGGACCAGACACCAGUGACAACGCAUUACUCCGUGUCUGUUGGCCAAGUGCUACUGACUGAAAUCACUGGCUCUACCUCAAUUCACUGCAGCAAAGUGUCUGGUCUUGCUUGGAUUUGCUUGAGAAAUGACCUUUAUUUUUCUUAUCCACAUUCUCACCUUAUGCAGUCUCCAUGUGUGUGCCAAAGUCACCUCCCCUGCAAGGGUGGACAGAUUUAGAGAUGCUCAAAAUGGCACAGUGAGGGUGUGUGGUUUGCUCUCCUGCUUUUGCUUAACUGGCCAGCAAGUGAACUCGGAGUAAGCAGGUCAGCUCAGGAACAAAGAAGAAGGACCUGAAGAGAUCAAAAUAACACAGGUUCACAGACAUCUCUUAUCUCCAUAAAACUCCUAGAGAGCAUCCAGAGGAGGGCUAAGAAGAUGGUGAAGGUUCUGGAGGAUUCUUUCCAACUCAAGGUAUUCUGUGAUCCUAAAAGAGGGGCAGCAGCCAGCAAGGAUGGAAUCAUCACAAAGGGGAGAAAUUGCACUUAAUGGGAGGCAGCCAGGGUGCUUGGUGCACUUAUCACACUUGCCUGCAUCAUACUGCUUUCUCCUCUGCCUCUGCUUUUCCACAUGAGGACUCUGCUACGUGAAGGCCAAGGUAAGAGGAGGUGACUGCUUUUGAACAAAGAAUGUGUGGUGCUGAGUUUUCCCAAGGAGAUGGGCAAAGCCUAUGGCAUGGAGCAGGAGGAGCUGAGGGCAGUGGAGCUUCUACCCUGUAGAACAGGGAACUCCUGAAGUUGCCAGUCCUACAACAAGUGUUUAGAGGAAGCUGAUUGGGCUGGGGGCUUUCACAAAACACAUGUCCAAACUAGAAGUGUCUGAGAGUGCACCAGCAGUUCGUUGUGAAGCUGACAAAAGCCACAGGCAUGCAGUACUAGGCAGGACAAAGCAGUGCCUGAGGUCUCUGUGUCCAUCACAAGUAGCACUCAUGACACCAUGUUUGACUCGGGAUGCUGUGUUUGCCAAAGCCUUCAGGAGCUUACUGCAUGCUCUACCUGGGGCAGAGAGAGAGGGCAGGCCUUUAUAAAGUGAGCUCAGAG